rnacentral:rRNA from 1 species
UACGUGGGGUGCAAGCGUUGUUCGGAAUUACUGGGCGUAAAGCGUGUGUAGGCGGCUCGUUAAGUCUGAUGUGAAAGCCCUGGGCUCAACCCAGGAAGUGCAUUGGAUACUGGGAGACUUGAAUACGGGAGAGGGUAGUGGAAUUCCUAGUGUAGGAGUGAAAUCCGUAGAUAUUAGGAGGAACACCGGUGGCGAAGGCGGCUACCUGGACCGAUAUUGACGCUGAGACGCGAAAGCGUGGGGAGCAAACAGG